rnacentral:rRNA from 1 species
CUACGGGAGGCUGCAGUGAGGAAUUUUGCGCAAUGGGGGAAACCCUGACGCAGCAACGCCGCGUGAGUGAAGAAGGCCUUUGGGUCGUAAAGCUCUGUCAACAGGGAAGAAGUUACAAUUGUUUAAUAAAUGAUUGUAUUGACGGUACCUGUGGAGGAAGCGCCGGCUAACUCCGUGCCAGCAGCCGCGGUAACACGGGGGGGCGCAAGCGUUAUUCGGAAUUAUUGGGCGUAAAGGGCGCGCAGGCGGUCUUGUCCGUCAGGUGGGAAAGCUCGGGGCUCAACCCGGGAAGUGCACUUGAAACAGCAAGACUUGAAUACGGGAGAGGAAAGCGGAAUUCCUGGUGUAGAGGUGAAAUUCGUAGAUAUCAGGAGGAACACCGAUGGCGAAGGCAGCUUUCUGGACCGAUAUUGACGCUGAGGCGCGAAGGCGUGGGGAGCGAACGGGAUUAGAUACCCUCGUAGUC